GAGCUCGUAGGCGGUUUGUCGCGUCUGCUGUGAAAUCCCGAGGCUCAACCUCGGGCUUGCAGUGGGUACGGGCAGACUAGAGUGCGGUAGGGGAGAUUGGAAUUCCUGGUGUAGCGGUGGAAUGCGCAGAUAUCAGGAGGAACACCGAUGGCGAAGGCAGAUCUCUGGGCCGUAACUGACGCUGAGGAGCGAAAGCAUGGGGAGCGAACAGGAUUAGAUACCCUGGUAGUCCAUGCCGUAAACGUUGGGCGCUAGAUGUAGGGACCUUUCCACGGUUUCUGUGUCGUAGCUAACGCAUUAAGCGCCCCGCCUGGGGAGUACGGCCGCAAGGCUAAAACUCAAAGGAAUUGACGGGGGCCCGCACAAGCGGCGGAGCAUGCGGAUUAAUUCGAUGCAACGCGAAGAACCUUACCAAGGCUUGACAUACACCGGAAACGGCCAGAGAUGGUCGCCCCCUUGUGGUCGGUGUACAGGUGGUGCAUGGUUGUCGUCAGCUCGUGUCGUGAGAUGUUGGGUUAAGUCCCGCAACGAGCGCAACCCUCGUUCUAUGUUGCCAGCGCGUUAUGGCGGGGACUCAUAGGAGACUGCCGGGGUCAACUCGGAGGAAGGUGGGGAUGACGUCAAAUCAUCAUGCCCCUUAUGUCUUGGGCUUCACGCAUGCUACAAUGGCCGGUACAAAGGGCUGCGAUACCGUAAGGUGGAGCGAAUCCCAAAAAGCCGGUCUCAGUUCGGAUUGAGGUCUGCAACUCGACCUCAUGAAGUCGGAGUCGCUAGUAAUCGCAGAUCAGCAACGCUGCGGUGAAUACGUUCCCGGGCCUUGUACACACCGCCCGUCAAGUCAUGAAAGUCGGUAACACCCGAAGCCGGUGGCCUAACCCUUGUGGAAGGAGCCGUCGAAGGUGGGAUCGGUGAUUAGGACGAAGUCGUA
rnacentral:rRNA from 1 species